AUGACGCAUGGAUCCGGCACUAGGCGUGUCUCCGCUGACUCACCGGAGGCAGUGCUACCCGUCUGGCAUCUGAACGUCGUGGCGGAUGCGCGACCGCUUCGUUGGUGCGCCGACGUGGAGGUCAGGAUUCUUGAUGGAACUAGUGAACUUCGAAUACCUCCAGGCACCCAACCUGGUGAUGUAUUGGUCCUAGCGAAGCAAGGAGUUCCAUCGUUGAAUAGGCCAUCUAUACGUGGUGAUCAUCUAUUCGCUGUGAAGGUUUCUAUACCCAAUCGUAUAAGUGGGCGUGAAAAAGAGUUACUUGAGGAACUUGCAUCGUUGAAAAAUGGUGGUUUUGCCAGUGCACCUGUGAAGCCAAAACCUGUACAUAAAGAGAAUGGAAGCCGUGCUGCUCCAGAAGUAUCAGAUCAACCUGAUGAUGGGGAGGGAUUCGACGAGCUGUUGCAUGCAUGUGUUCUGUUGGAGAGGCUCAUCUUUUACGGCAGUGAAGUGGCAACGGAGAGGUUUAGUGUCAACUAA
rnacentral:rRNA from 1 species